UCGCCUGUUUAUCAAAAACAUGGCCUUUUGAUUAUAAUUUAAGGUCUGGCCUGCCCACUGAGGAGUUGAAUGGCUGCGGUAAUUUGACCGUACAAAGGUAGCAUAAUAAUUAGUUUCUUAAUUAGAAGCUGGAAUGAAAGGUUGGAUGAGAAAAUAACUGUCUCUAUUUAAAUUAUUUAUAAUUUUAUUUUUAAGUAAAAAAGCUUAAGUAUUAGUAGAAGACGAGAAGACCCUAUAGAGUUUUAUUUAUAAUAAUAAAAUUUUAUUUUAGUAUUAAUUUUUUAUUUUAUUUAAGUAAAUUUGAUUGGGGAGAUUAAAAAAUUUGAAAAACUUUUUUAUUAUUUAAACAUUGAUUUAUGAGUAUUUGAUCCUACUAUAAAGAUUAAAAGAAUAAAUUACCUUAGGGAUAACAGCGUAAUCUUUUUGGAGAGUUCUUAUCGAAAAAAGGGAUUGCGACCUCGAUGUUGGAUUAAAAUUUAACUUUGGUGUANAAGCUACAGGAUUUAGGUCUGUUCGACCUUUAAAAUUUUACUUGAUCUGAGUUCAAACCGGAG
rnacentral:rRNA from 1 species